AUACGGAGGGAGCAAGCGUUAUUCGGAAUCACUGGGCGUAAAGGACGCGUAGGCGGGUUUGUAAGUCAGGUGUGAAAUCCUACAGCUCAACUGUAGAACUGCACUUGAAACUACAGACCUAGAGUAUGGAAGGGACAGAUGGAAUUAGUGGUGUAGGGGUAAAAUCCGUAGAUAUCACUAGGAAUACCGAAAGCGAAGGCGAUCUGCUGGGACAUUACUGACGCUGAGGCGUGAAAGCGUGGGGAGCAAACAGGAUUAGAAACCCCAGUAGUCC
rnacentral:rRNA from 1 species